rnacentral:rRNA from 1 species
GUGAACGCUGGCGGUAGGCCUAACACCUGCUAGUCGAACGGCAGCACAGUAAGAGCUUGCUCUUACGGGUGGCGAGUGGCGGACGGGUGAGGAAUACAUCGGAAUCUACUUUUUCGUGGGGGAUAACGUAGGGAAACUUACGCUAAUACCGCAUACGACCUACGGGUGAAAGCAGGGGAUCUUCGGACCUUGCGCGAUUGAAUGAGCCGAUGUCGGAUUAGCUAGUUGGCGGGGUAAAGGCCCACCAAGGCGACGAUCCGUAGCUGGUCUGAGAGGAUGAUCAGCCACACUGGAACUGAGACACGGUCCAGACUCCUACGGGAGGCAGCAGUGGGGAAUAUUGGACAAUGGGCGCAAGCCUGAUCCAGCCAUACCGCGUGGGUGAAGAAGGCCUUCGGGUUGUAAAGCCCUUUUGUUGGGAAAGAAAAGCAGCAGGUUAAUACCCCGCUGUUCUGACGGUACCCAAAGAAUAAGCACCGGCUAACUUCGUG